UUUGAUAUGAAUUGAUUUAUGCUUGGAUACACUAAUGUAUAAGUCAUUCUUAUGAGUUGAUAAUGUUUGGAUGG
rnacentral:pre_miRNA from 1 species